AGAGUUUGAUCCUGGCUCAGGAUGAACGCUAGCGGCAGGCUAACACAUGCAAGUCGAGGGAGAAGCCCUUCGGGGCAGAAACCGGCGCACGGGUGCGUAACGCGUAUGCAACCUACCUUUCACAGGGGGAUAGCCCGAAGAAAUUUGGAUUAAUACCCAUAAUAUUAUUGGAUGGCAUCAUUUGAUAAUUAAAAUUACGAUGGUGAAAGAUGGGCAUGCGUCCUAUUAGCUAGUUGGAGUGGUAACGGCACCCCAAGGCUACGAUAGGUAGGGGUCCUGAGAGGGAGAUCCCCCACACUGGUACUGAGACAGGGACCAGACUCCUACGGGAGGCAGCAGUGAGGAAUAUUGGUCAAUGGUCGGAAGACUGAACCAGCCAUGCCGCGUGCAGGAAGAAUGCCUUAUGGGUUGUAAACUGCUUUUAUAUGGGAAGAAUAAGGAGUACGUGUACUUUGAUGACGGUACCAUAUGAAUAAGCAUCGGCUAACUCCGUG
rnacentral:rRNA from 1 species